UACGGGGGGUGCGAGCGUUGUCCGGAAUCACUGGGCGUAAAGGGCGCGUAGGUGGCCUGAUAAGGGUGUGGUGAAAGUCCGGGGCUCAACCCCGGAUCUGCCGUGCCGACUGUCAGGCUAGAGUACUGUAGGGGCAGGCGGAAUUCCGGGUGUAGCGGUGGAAUGCGUAGAGAGUCCGGAGGAAGACCGGUGGCGAAGGCGGCCUGCUGGGCGAGUUACUGACACUGAGGCGCGACAGCGUGGGGAGCAACAGG
rnacentral:rRNA from 1 species